rnacentral:rRNA from 1 species
UACGUAGGUGGCAAGCGUUGUCCGGAUUUAUUGGGUUUAAAGGGUGCGUAGGCGGCUUAUUAAGUCAGUGGUGAAAUACUCUAGCUCAACUAGAGGGGUGCCAUUGAUACUGAUGAGCUUGAGUACAGAUGAGGUGGGCGGAAUUGACGGUGUAGCGGUGAAAUGCUUAGAUAUCGUCAAGAACACCUAUAGCGAAGGCAGCUUACUAGGCUGUAACUGACGCUGAGGCACGAAAGUGUGGGGAUCAAACAGG